GAGAAGGAGGACGACCAGGCGGCGACGCGCCCGCCCAAGUGUAACUAAUUCCUCUCUCUUCUUUGCAGGAUCUAAUCUCUCCCAUGGCGGUCGGCGGCGCUCUGGCCGUGGAGGCCUGCUCCUCAUGCUCCUCCUCUGGAUCUAAUUCUUGAUUCUUGCGUCGGUCUGAACUGUGCGAUUUACGUUUCGUCAGAGGUCUGUUCUUGGGAUUCUAGUGCUGUUGAUCUCGUCAAGGGCCUCAUCUGCUUUCUUUCAUCUUGUGAAGGUGAUUAUUAUUAGUACUUUCCCUGCUAAUUGUUUACUGUUUCAAUACAUUUUGUUCCUCUAACAUAGUGUCUUUAGCGUUCUUGGUAGAACGGUUUUAUUGUGCAUGGAAUGUUUUAUCCUCUCACCUUAUACUAUUUAUUUGUGUGCUUACAUAUAUUCUUUCCUGCUUCGUAUUGUGUAAUUACUUCGUUUACCUAGAAUGUGUGCUCUGGUGUCCUUUGUUCUUCCAAUUUUGGAACUGUGGCAGCACAAUGUGCAUUGCUUCCGCCUUUUUACUUGUGUGAGAUCGACGGGAAUGGUCAUGUGCUUGCUGGUGUAGAGAUUGAUGUUCCUGGGGAUGGCCUUAUAGGUAAUAAACCUAGGUUUAUUUUAGAUUCAAAUCACUUAGCUUUUUUUGAGCCAUGGAACCUACAGUUUUACACUGCCAGAUUGAGACAUGGAAAUUCAUGAUGUACUUUGCGAGACCCCUGUCCGUUAGUGCCUCUUUGAUCGGCUCUGCUAUGGCAUUGGAUAAGCCUUUAGUAUAGUGAGCUUUGGUAGAAAAUGGUUCUGCCAUU